AAGUUCCGAGACAGGUGCUGCAUGGCUGUCGUCAGCUCGUGCCGUGAGGUGUGGGUUAAGUCCCGCAACGAGCGCAACCCUAUUGCCAGUUGCUACCAGGUAAUGCUGGGCACUCUGGUGAGACUGCCCGGUUAACGGGGAGGAAGGUGGGACGACGUCAAGUCAUCAUGGCCCUUACGCCUAGGGCUACACACGUACUACAAUGGCGCAUACAAAGGGCAGCGAUACCGCGAGGUGGAGCCAAUCCCAAAAAGUGCGUCCCAGUCCGGAUUGCAGUCUGCAACUCGACUGCAUGAAGUUGGAAUCGCUAGUAAUUCGAGAUCAGCAUGCUCGGGUGAAUGCGUUCCCGGGCCUU
rnacentral:rRNA from 1 species